UACGUAGGGUGCAAGCGUUGUCCGGAAUUAUUGGGCGUAAAGAGCUCGUAGGCGGUUUGUCGCGUCUGCUGUGAAAACUCGGGGCUUAACUCCGGGCCUGCAGUGGGUACGGGCAGACUAGAGUGCGGUAGGGGAGACUGGAAUUCCUGGUGUAGCGGUGAAAUGCGUAGAUAUCCUAAGGAACACCGGUGGCGAAGGCGGCACGCUGGACACCUUCUGACGCUGAGGCGCGAAAGCCAGGGGAGCAAACGGG
rnacentral:rRNA from 1 species